CUGACACACAGGCUUCCUUAUUUGUCUAAAAUCACUGAGCUGAUCUUUGCUGCCAUGUCACUGGAAUAUAUUGACUUUAUUGCUUACUGGUACUUUUAACACACAGCUGGAGCUACUCAUUUCCUCUUUAGGUAGAACUCAUUAUGUUUAUAGUUAAUUAUGUAUUUGUUCUUAGGUAUAUCAAAUUCACAUGAAGAACCAGUAAGCUAGCCUGAAUUCUGAAUGGGCCCCAAAAACCCAUACUCAUGUGUCUCUUUAGCAGAAUUCAGGGGAAAAAAAUUAUAUUUCCCAGUUACUUGGAAGUAUUCCGAGCUAACAUUAAAUCUAAAGAACUUCUAUCUCAAAAAAGACAAAAAUAUUUAAAAUCAACAAGCUGAUUAUAGAGUCGAAUAGCAGUUGCAAAUGUGGAACUCCAACUUUGAGAUCAUAAUACGUAAAAUACUGUGCAUAUAAAACAUAUGAUACUUAUAUGAGACCAAAUGAUACUUAUAUGAGACCAAAAAAAGACAUGUGACCAUAUUUACUGUUAGGUGUCUGAAAUCUCUCCUGCAAAUGAAUGAUUUCAGAUGAGCCUGCCAGUCUUUUUGGCAGCUGCAGGCAGAAUUUCUUUGCAAACCAGAAUGCAAACAUAAUUCCAGAUAGGUAGCUCUCUGCAGGGAAGCCACAACAGCAACUCUGGACAUCAGUGGCACGUGUGUAUGGACUACAGUGAGUUCUCAGUAAGUACCUGUCCUCUGAAUCCUGGAGAAGAGAAAUUCUACUGGAGACACAAUACAACACAAAGCACAGUUAGCCCUGUUUGUUUGGUGCUGUCUAGGAUAUUUUACAUCCCACAAGGAAUACUGCAACCAGUCCCCUGUGAGGGAGCUGGAGGGCAAUGCUAUUCUCAGAAACCUUUCUUCCAAGGCAAUCUUUCUAGCAAAAGAAAGAAGAGAUGUCCUUCAGACUGUAAAAAGCAGCUCCAACAGCACUCUGCUUAGGGAACAUGGAAAGGAACUGCUAGCAGCAGGUUCAAAUUGAGAAGUGAUGUGAUGCUGCCUUACAUUAUACAUUUACAAGGUAUGAUUGUCUAGUCCUUACUUUUACGCUAGUACUUGAAUUUGAGGAGUGAGUGAAGGAUGCAGCUGCUUUUACAGCAAGAUAAGAGUAUGGGUUCCCAGAAGUACCCUCUCCACUGGGCUGCCUGACCUUGACAUGCCCUCAGGGUCAUUCUAGACAAGAACAAGCAGUGGAGCUGCAGGAGGAAACCACACCAUCUUCCAACCUUUCUGGCAAAGAAAGGGUGAAUCAGCCAACCUGUCAUGGAG
rnacentral:lncRNA from 1 species